UUGUCAGGGAAUCUUAUGCAUUGGCUUUCUCAAAUGUUCUCGCCAGCAAAAGGAAAUUACAAGGGAACAAGCAGUUCAAGAUCUGGAGGAAAUGGAGAGAAGAAGAGAAGAACUUGAACAAUUGCUAUUGGCAGAAAGGGUAUGAGAGAAUGUAGGUGAUUAAGUCAAAUGGAGAAAGGGACAU